GAGCGACAGAGCCCUAGACGUAGGUUCCUUGUAUCUCUUUGAAGUUUGAUGCUUAAAACAGAGAUAAAGAUUGAAUCAUCUGGUGUGAUGGAUAAAUUACAGAAAGAGAAGGGCUGUAAACCAACAAGAUUCUCAUCGUCCACUUCCUCUGCUCAUGCUUCAUCUUAAUAAUAAUGUAUAAACAGGACGAUUAUGUCGGCACUAUCAUCAUCGCAUGAAAAAAAAGAUUGAUAUUACACUACAUGGGGAUUGAAUUAGAAUUUCCUUGUUUAUAAAAGAAAAUGGCUACGUCAUCUGAGCUCAUGUGUUACUUUUGUCCUGCCCCGUUCAAUCAAUUUCUAAGAUAAAAGAUAACCCAUUUGACCUAACCAAACUGUGUUUUGCAGGCUGUGUAUUGCUUGUCAGCUGUUUCUAUGGUGUUGCUUGGUUUCAGGCGUUAUGUUCUUUGCAUAUAGUAACUUUACUUCAGUAUUGUGCAGAAUGUAGUAAACCUGGUAACUUUACUCUUUUAAUGUUGUAUGAUAAUUGAUGCCUAAAUGUACAAUGUUGGGCGUUUGUAGGGUAUUCGCUUACUCUGAUGUUACUCCUUUAAUCUAGAAGAUAUCUUAGACGAGUUGAAGAUAUAGUCCCACAAACUAUUAGUUCUCAGCUAGCAACAAAAACUUCAGUUACUGUACCUUUUGAAGGCAAAAUUUGUUUUGAAACUAUUGCUUUGGCUAGAUGCUUGGGUUGGAUAACGGGUCAAAACAGGUUCUGUUUUGAGACGGGCUGUAUUGGGUUGGGAUGAUCCUCGAAUCACCUUUUGUGUUCAUUUUUUAUUCAAGUAAAGAAUGGUUUACUAAAUCCCAUAACACUAUUUUUACAAUAAAAUUUAUAUACUUUAACAAAAUGAAAUAUGAUUUCAAGUGUAUGCACUAAAAAUAGAAUUGGAGUGGCUCUCAACCCUUUAGACCUGAUAAACUUUUUUGACCCAUUCACCGUUCAGCUAAUGCUUUUUGUGUUUUAGGGUUAUCUCGCUUUGUGUUUUAGGGUUUCUCGCUGCCAUAUAUGAGAUGAGUACUGGGUUCAUCAGUCGAUAUCAAUAGAGAUGAGUACUGGAUAAAAAAGCAAUUUAUUUCUAAUGGGCUCAGGGAACGGGAACCGGCCUGCAGCUAGAAUCACGAUUGAAGACGACCAUUGUGUACUACUUGAUGUAUAUGACAUUGACCAUCUCCUACAAUCAACUCGGCCACAAGAUGGCGAUUCCCAGGCAAGGCAGAGGUGACAGAUUCUUCUAGAAGGCUUGGCAGCAGCCCUUCAGUUAUUCAUUUACUUUAGUGUAUGAGGACAAUGAAUGAGACAUGAUGCUUGUUGUUGGGGAUGUCCCGUGGUGGUGCCAAAGAAUUAAGACGGGAACAAUAUUGGACAAGGCAUCAUUCAGCACAUGUGCUAGUUGUGUCAACUGUUGGAUACACGAAUGUUGGAAAGAUUACACUUUUAAAUCAGUUAACAUGUAACAUGGGCUGAUGUUCUUUCUGAGUUGCUGGUUGUUUGCAACACUUGAUCCAACUACAAGGAGGGUACAUGCUGGUAAUUUCUUUGAUGAAGAAAGAAGUUUCUGCUUACGGAUAUUGUUGGAUUUCUUCGUUUGAGAUAAGAUUGCAAUGUUUUUUCUUUGUUUGAAUUCAGUAAUUACAGUCAUUACUUAUUUCAGCAUCCCAGCCAAUAUCAAAACUUUUAGCUGACCCGUUACGAAAACUAUUAACCAAAAGUGGGCUUCAUUGUGGAAAAACUAGAAAAAAAGAAACCUUCGAUACGUGGUGGACAAUGGUGCGGGUGUGUUCCACUUGAAGCCCAAAAGAAUACCAACUCAAACGAGCUCAGGAUUACGAUAUACAGUUAACUUUAUUUGUGUUAUUUGAUAGAUCAGAGUGAUUGUUUGUAGAAUGGAUUUUUGAUCAAGGAUGAUUAUUUUUGAUAUAAUGUUUGAAGUGUCAAUGCAUGUAUCUAUGGUAGUUAUGUGGUUUUACAUGGAAUUUUUUUUCUGUUCUCAGGUUAUGGGCAUGCUUGACCCAAGUCAUUGCCUCAUUGGGAUGUGCGGAAUUCAUUUGGCGAGUGGUAAGAUGACACAUUGACAACCGAGAUGUAUAAAAAAGUUAUAUAAUCGCCUUUACGUAUCUACUCAUGGUUUUAAAAGGCGCGACAUGUACUCCUAGGUCAAAAUUAGAAUCUGUAGGAGGCUGAUACGUAAAAACAACAACCAAAGGGAUGAAAAAAUAAUGAAAGGUUUACUUGAUAAUAUACAAUCUUAACGGUUUGUGCGAACAAAAUAAAAGAUAUUCCUUGCUUAAUGUGCCCGACAAAACCUCAAGGAUCCAUGGCCAUGAUGGUGAAGCUAAGCAUUCCACUACUAGAAGAUAUCAAUGACGACAUCGAUUUCUUUUUCAAGCCACCUAAAAAAGAAUUCGUGAUCCUUCUUCCUGAUCAUCCUUCAAAUACUCCUCAGAGAAGGCUACCAACGAAAUUGUAGAAGAGACGACUCCAUCCACCAGCGAAUCCAGUAUCAAGGGCAGUGGGAGCGGCAACAAACUUACUAUUGCAACGGAUGAUAACCUAGAAUUUGAUGUUCAUGAGGAAUAUUCAGAUAGUUUUCUGCGCUGGAUAAACAAUGGAGAGACGUUAUGCCACUAAUGCGUCCACAUUAUGAAAUGAGCUGUUUGAAACGGGUCGUGUUAGUCGAGCUAAAAUCAGUCAUUUUCAUGUUCGGGUAGCGUCAAGAAUUGCCGUCCCUUGCGUUAAUUACCUUUUGUACCUAUUUUGAAAAUGGUCUGUUUAAGGUGAUUGUCGAUUAACAUGUCUAAGCUGUGCACAACCGUUCUGGUCAUUACCUGUAUUUUUUUAGAAUUUAAGUUCGCGUCAGGGUUUGGGUCAUAUUGUUCUUAAAAGUUGUAAUGAUUUACAUGUUAAUACUAUAAAUUUGUGUUUUAAGCUGAGCCACUUGCCUGCAAAUGCGUCAAGGGAAACUAUUGGUCGUGCGAGACAUUUGUUCAGGGUAAUAGGGAACAGAGGUUGAACCUGUUGUUUGACCCAACAAAGGACUUCCAUACUUACUCUAUUCUAUGGAACCAGCGUCAAGUUGUCUCGAUUUGGAACGCGGACGACUGGGCCACACAAGGGAUGCGAUUGUCCCAUGACAACUGCAGAUUCCGAUAAUGCAAAGCGAUGUGCCAACAGCGGUGGUUGGUGGGAUCAACCAGUGUUGUCCGAGUAAAUUGUGCAUCAAAGCCACCAAUUGAUUUGGGUGCGAGCAAACCAUAUGAUUUAUGACUACUAUAGUGACACCGGUCGUUUGAAAUAGACAGGUGCGAGUGUCCCGUGACGACUGCAGGUUCCGAUAAUGCAAAGCGAUGUGCCAACAGCGGUGGUUGGUGGGAGCAACCAGUGUUGUCAGAAUUAAAAUUUGCAUCAAAGCCACCAGUUGAUUUGGGUGCGCGCAAACCAUAUGAUUUAUGACUACUGCAGUGACACCGGUCGGUUUCCAUCGGUGCCAGUGGAACGCGUACACCAUCGUCAUUAAUUGGUUGUUUGUGGUGUGGAUUGGGAAUCAAAUGUUUGUGUAAAAAUUAAUUAAAAAGCAUGUGGAAAAUCAACGUAAGCUUCAUGUUGAACAUGUCACACCCCCAAAAUCCACACGCGGAGUACCACCGCUUGGAGGCGUGACGU